GCAGGAGCUGACACAGCCUCACCAGCCCAUGCUCGGCCAGACUAGGGAGCAUCGGCCGCUUGUUCCAUCCUGUGCUUGUCUGCCUGCCUCUCUGUCAUGAGACGCAUUCGAAGAGUCCUGGGCCCAAAAGCAACUCACAGUCCAGGAAGACGUCCAGGCCUUGGGUGACGCUCAGUCUCAGUAAAUGGCCCUGGCUGGCAGGUGGUGGUGGGAGGGACCCAGUUAAAGCAUGUGGAUGAUCCGAACAACACAAGAAUAAGCUAGAAUGUGAAGCAGAGUCAAUCUUAUCAGUUAAUAAAGUCAAGUUGUUGAUUCAGAGAAGAUUGGCCCUGAGAGGAUUUCAGGAGCAGCAGUGUCAUCAGAGCCGAGGCUUCAUUUGUGGUUGUUACCACAAACUCUUGGCUGAACCCAGAGGUGGACAAGAUUUGGGUAUGUCUGCAGGGAAGGAAGCAGUGGUGGUGGAGAGGUAUUUAUGGGUUUUAAGAUUUAAAUAAAAGAAAAAACCACAUUGUCAUCUGAAAGAAGAUAAAUGGCAAAUUGUUGAAGCGACAGGCCCCUAGGGACUAAUUACUCUUCCGCAGUAAUUCAGGAACUUCACCAGUGACUUACAUUGACUUAACAUGUCAAAUGUCAGUUCUGUGUUAUGAAAUAAAAAUACAUGUUCUUUUAGUGUAAACAAUACAGAAAUGUUCUCAGAUGUCCCAAGUUGUUAGUCAUGUGGGACAGAUUCAGUGCCCUAUGAUGCAUGUCCACGGCUCUGUGCCUGAGGUUACAAAGUGUAACAGGGCAGCUUUAUAGUUAAAAUCCAAGUAGACACCUUGUUCAUCUGGGGGCUGAGGAGCACCCACACCACCCCUCGGAGACAUUCAUGUUGCACCUUCAGAAUGCAAGAGUGAUCAUGAAUAAGUGUUCCUGACACUCCAUUCUCCAAUCUUCAUUCUACUUUGGUUUUGGGGAGGUUGUUGCAGGACAUUGAUGGGGAGACCGCUGGCCAGCUGUGCCCCUGGUAGGGUUUCAGCCAGUAGCAGGGUGGCAAAGCUUACAGCACUGCGCUACAUGGUGUGAGCUGCUUUGGUUUCUCAUGGGGUAUCACCACAGGUCAAAUACAAUGUGUCUGCAAACCAGGCCGAGAAGCUGGUGCACAGCUCACACGCUACACAUGCUAACUCAAUUGAAAUAGGCUUUCAGCAACAGGUGCACACUAGUGCUUAUUCUACACGAGGCUCCAUGCAGGUCAUAGAGGGCUAAGGUUCUGUGUUCCGUAGAGCAGGCCCUGUCUUGCUGCUUCUUCUCUGUGGCUUGGCUCAAGGUCUAACAGUUUACAGAAACCCAAUCACUGUUGGUUGGCUUGAAGACAGGAUCUCUGCCUACAAACUUUUCAUAGUUUAGGAGAAAAAUCCUAUUAAUCAUCCAAGGUUCAACCAAGAAGAGAGGUCACUCUAAGUAUUUAUAACAGAGGACUCUCAUUGCCCAGGUUAUAGGAAGACUUUGAGGCCAGAGCACAGUGACAUUGGAGGGAGCCGCAACCCUCCCUGGGUUGAAGGAACUAAGGAGAAUGUGGCAGAAUUGGCCGGAAGCAGAAUUGCCUGUUUCCAGUGAGGCCCCCUUGCCCUCUUGGAAGCAAUUGCUGUGUAGGAAGUCUGAACACCUCACAGGAGAUGGAGGCCAGUUCCUGCCUGCUGUAGCCACCCAGCUGAAGGGGGUCCAGACACGAGUGGAGGCAUUGUGACCUCCAGCCUCAGCAGACACCUCCACACUGCGCAGGGCAGAGCAACCACGCCACCGAGUGAGCCCCAUUUGCAGACUUUGAGCAAAUAAUGAUUGUGCACGUUGGAUCAUUUAUUGAGUUUCUCUCGUACACCAAGCACUGGUUGGAUCCCAUGCUUGUUGGUGACAGAACUGCUGUGAUGCCAGUCCUGCGUCCCCUUCAGCCUGUGAAGGAGGAGCACCAUGAACCAGCCAACUAACACGUGUCUAAUCACAUAAAGGGAACUGAACACCAGAGAGCCACAGUCACUUUCCGAAGGUCACACAGCAAGUGCAAAUGAGGCCUCAUCCUCAGGGCUGGGUUCCAGGCCUGCUGGGCAGGUCGGUUACUGCUGCACAAAAUUUCUGUUAUCCUAAAAUUGUUUCAGACAAGCACCAAAGGACGUCCCAUAGUUCUGCUUGACUAAGGUUUAAUGAAGUUAAUGUUCAUACUUUCCACUCUAUUUUUCCACUCUUUAAGGAUCCAAAUUUUCUUGGUGUAGCUGCGUAUAAAAGUUUAACUAUUACAGAGAUAACCACAAAAUUUGAUGAGGCUUCAUUGAGUGGAAAACACUGUAGUCCAAAUAAAUGCAGAAAUCAUUGGUUUGGGAACCAAGGGAUAAAAUGCUCCCAGCUGUGGCAGUUCCUCUUCUACCUUCUUUGAGUGAAUUUGCAACACAGAAAAAGGCUGAUGAAGCUGAGACAUUGAUUAUCAAAGUGCCUUCACUUCCCAGAACCAUCUGACGCAAGAUAGAAUCCAGCUAUGCUUAAUCACCACUUACACAGCACUUUCUGAAAUGCUUUCUACAUCUUAGGGUAGGUUUUAUUUUCUCUUAAUGGAGGGGUUUUCCCAGGCUUGUAGGGGACAUAGUCUUCUCUGUCCCUUCCUUAUCUUGGCUUCUUCUUUGUUUUUAUUGUGGUAAAAUACACAAAGCAUGAUGUUGACUGGGUUAACCAUUUUUAAGCAUACAAUUCAGUGGUAUUAAAUUUACUCAUAAUAUUGUGCCCCCAUCACCACCAUCUAUCUCCACAACUCUUUUUAUCUUAUAAAAUGGAAACUCUGUACUCAUUAAACAACAAGUCUCCAUUCUCUUCUCCACUCACCUCUGGCAACCACUGUUCUUUCUGUCUCUAUGAUUUUAUGAAGUACUCUGUGUACCUCAUGUCAGUGGAAUCAUACAGUAUUUGUCCUUCUGUAACUGGCUUAUUUCACUUGAGCACAGUGUUCUCAGAGUUCAUCCUUCGUAUACCACGUGUCAGCAUUUUCUUCCUUUUUAAAGCUGAAUAAUAUUCCAUUGCAUGUAUAGACCACAUUUUGCUUAUCCAUUUAUGUAUUGAUGGACACUUGAGUUGCUUCCACUUCUUGGCUGUUGUGAAUAAUGAUAUUAUAAACAGGGAUAUGCAAAAGCCUCUUCAAGUCCUUGCUUUUAAUUCUUUUGGGUAUGUACACAGUAGUGGAGUUCAGGAUCAUAUGGUAAUUCUGUGUUUAAUUUUUUGAGGGUCUGCCAUACUGUUUUCCAGUGGCUGCACCAUUUUACAUUCCUUGUGCAAACAAUGCACAAGGGUUCCAAUUUCUCUAUAUUCUUGCCAACAUCUGUUAGUUUCUGUUUUCUUCCUGGUAGCCAUCAUUAUGGGUGUGGAGUGGUCUCUUGGCUCCUUCUUGACAGGGGUUCUCUUUGGAAUCCGUACCUGCCAGCCAGGAUCCCUGUCUACUGGCUGCUCCUUGGUCCUGUGGAGCUUUGCUCCUGCACUCUGCCAAGCUCUGAGGCUGGCCUCUGUUUAGGCUGCUGAUAGACACCUGUCUUCAUGCUAAGGCCUAGCUGACUGGCUGAGCCAACCUACUCCUCCAGGGCCUGCCCAACCCUGAUGGGUGCCUGACGCAGGCCUGGAACAUCUUGCUGCCUUCUCGUACUCACAGCUUAGGAAGCAAAAAGCAAGCCAGGUGUUCAUACUUCUCUGCUGGGGACAUAACAAAUGGCAUGACAAAUACUAAAGCAAUAAAUGAACUGAAAAAUAAAUGAGUUGGCAAUUAUUUAUCACAGAAUUAUCUGAGAUGGUAUUUCAAAUUAUUUCUCCCCUUAAAAAAAAGGAUAUUUUUUUACGGCAUGAAGAGUCAAAUGUAAAAGUAAAGAAAUGAAAACAAUCAGAUGGAGAGAGAUGAAUAUUUAUCAGAUUCCAGGAUGAACAUGGGCUUUGUAAUUGUAAUUCUUUGGGGAAAAUUAAUUCACCAGAAGCCCCCCUGGGAAGGGCAUGGUAAUUGCUGAAAAGAUGCCUGAUAAGCCACAUACACGGGAGGGAGAUUCCCUUAGGAAGGGCAAAGGGAUUGCAAAACUGCCUUCCAGAAAGCUGAGGACCUUGCUAAUGAGCUGACUUUAUGUUCUGCUAAGAGCUGGUAGAUGGUUUAGGGACAAAUAUCAGGCACUGUGCAAUGGAGGGGAGGGAAUUUGAGGUUUUGGUGGGGUUCAGGAAGAUACCCUGGGGGGAAUUCAUUUGUAUUUCAUAAAAAUUAAUAACUUCUGAAAACAGCAACAACAAAAAUGUACCAUGAGCAGAAAUAAGAGUACUUAAGAAACUAAGAGAAAUGUUUUCAGCAAAGAUGAAUAAAGUUUAGUUGGUAUAUUUUCAGCACUCCCUAUGAAAGGCACUCAGACUCCUGAAGAAAAUUGUUCAAGGUCAUUAGAUAAGUCAGGGGCCCCUGAGAAAAAGAGCAGAAGAUGGGAGGAUUUUAUUCAGGGAAAUGGGGGGUGAGAGGGAAGAGAGGGGAGGACUGACAGAAAGCUUGACUCCAGAGAGAGAGAGAGAAAGUUGGGAGGGAGUGCGCUGGACACCCUGGGGAUUCCAGGAACACCAGAAAGAGGACUCUCCAGUUCCAGGAGCUGGGCCUUGGUCUCCCAGCCAUGCCCUGGUGAGUGGGAGCCGCCCCUGGGCAGCGUGGCCUCAGUCCCAGUGCAGCCUUGGUUUCCCAGCAGCAGCGGGGCCUGGGUCAUCUAUACUUUCUGUGGUUGGAGUCUUGAGGUGCAUUUUGUCGGCCAGCACAGAUGUGACAAGAGAGUCCCAAAGGAAGGCAGGCAGAUGGCUGAGGAGCAUUUCUGUAGGGUGUCCUCAGCCCUCUGAGAAAGCUUCCCACAGCAAAGUUCCGUGCUGAGGCAUAGAGACCUUCCGCACUGUCCUCAGGGCCUAAACUAUGUAACCACAGCAGAAUCAAAGAUCUCCAAAUCUCAAGCACAGUCCCUUAGUGCACCUCCCCAUCCUGUGGUUGUCCAACCUGUGUCUGAAUACCUCCCAUAACAGGGUGCUCAUUCACUUCUGUGACAUUUCU
rnacentral:lncRNA from 1 species